CCAUCAGUGAUGACACCCCAAAAAUCAUUCCUUGGAAAAGCUAAACAAAAUGAAUGAAAACACUAAACAGUCAUUCUCAUUGUGACGCAGGUCC
rnacentral:snoRNA from 1 species